UAAUCUUCAUAUUGGUUGCUCAUUAUCUUGUCUAAUUUUAAAUUUUAUUGGCAGACACACUUGGUCUCUUAAGACUAACUACAUUUUGGAUUUUGACAAGGAAAUGAUGAAAAUAGCAGUUAUUGAAUGCUUGUUG
rnacentral:pre_miRNA from 2 species